rnacentral:rRNA from 1 species
CCAGACUCCUACGGGAGGCAGCAGUGAGGAAUAUUGGUCAAUGGCCGAGAGGCUGAACCAGCCAAGUCGCGUGAGGGAAGACGGCCCUACGGGUUGUAAACCUCUUUUGUCGGGGAGCAAAGCGAACCACGUGUGGUUCAUUGAGAGUACCCGAAGAAAAAGCAUCGGCUAACUCCGUGCCAGCAGCCGCGGUAAUACGUAGGGGGCAAGCGUUAUCCGGAAUUACUGGGUGUAAAGGGAGCGUAGACGGUGAUGUAAGUCUGGAGUGAAAGGCGGGGGCCCAACCCCCGGACUGCUCUGGAAACUAUGUGACUGGAGUGCAGGAGAGGUGAGCGGAAUUCCUAGUGUAGCGGUGAAAUGCGUAGAUAUUAGGAGGAACACCAGUGGCGAAGGCGGCUCACUGGACUGUAACUGACGUUGAGGCUCGAAAGCGUGGGGAGCAAACAGGAUUAGAUACCCUAGUAG